AUUUUCAGAUAGAAGGGGAGAGAGAGCGGCGGGUCAGCGCAACUGUUCAUUUCGUUCCCCAUUUUCUCUCUCUCUAGGGUUAUUCGCUCUCCUCUCUCCUCGCUCGCAUCCAUUGGCGAUUUUUCACAUCCAACCUCUUGAAUCACCCACACACCAGCAACUCAGCUAGAUCCGGUGGUGAUCAACGGCAUCUCUGACGAAGGGGGCAAGGUGCCGAAGCGCAGAUCCGGACACUCUCCAAUCGUGCCCCCACUCUUUCGUUCAUGGCCCGCAGCUCGCUGGCGGUUCUGCUCCUGCUUGCGGCGCUCGUGGGCGUAGUCGCUGCCAGGGACAUCGUCCACCAGGACGACGAGGACCCGAAAUUCCCGGCUGCGCCAACGAUUUUGUCCUGGGUGCAGACAACACAUUCAUGAUUCACCUGAGAACCUGGUUAGUGUUGUUCAAAUAACCAUACCAAGUUACAAUGACAAGAGGGAAGAAGCAGCAGCAAGAGAAGGAGGUUGCCCAAAUAAUUUGUGAAUAUCCAAAGGACGAACUAUGGUUUACAUUACUCUGCAAGAAGAUACAGAUGCAGUAAGACUUGAUUCACUCUUAGAUUUCAAAAAGCAUCAUUUCUUUGCUUGUCCACGCUCAAGCUCCGAGAAAACUAUUUUUGCUGCAGGUAAGAUAUGAAUGAGCUCGUACAAUGAUGUGAUAGUCAAAACUAGUGGCUCUUUAGCAACUUUUAGACCAAUAUAUUGUAUUAUGCAAUUAUAGCUUGUGACUGUUGCAUUUCUCCAAUAAUUGUAGCAAUUUAUAUGUCAUGGAGGUGAACUUGAUGAAAUAUAUACUAGAGGUAUUUGUUAGGACUCCCUCUCCAAGAACUGAACGUCGUUAAGACCAGCUACCCUAGCUCCUCAGAGCAAUUUUUAAAACUCAUAAACUUGUAUGUGCAGUUCUUUUGAUCCCUAGUAUUCAUGCAGGCCCGACAAUCUUUUAGGUUUGUUUUCUGAUUGAGUUCAGCAGCUUGGUAGUAGCACAUUUGUUUGCAACUUCUCAUUAUUGAAAUGUCAUUUUUCAUAUUUUGUAUAUGGUUUUGUAAAAUUCAAUUGAAACUUUUGUCCAUGCUCUAAUUUUCUCACACUUUCUUAGAACUUUGCUUAUAUGGUUCCAAAACGAUGCUUAUUCUGCCUAGGAAAUUCAUGAUUAUUAGUUAGGCAAAGUAAUACUUUUAGUUGUGCAAUUUUUUGGCUACGGAACAAGCAAAUGCAUAUGCAUGUAGGCAAUUUUUAUAACAUUUUAUUUUUCAAAUGCCUCCGUUGAUAAUUAGGAUACAACAGGUAGUUCUUCAGCUUAUCCAACUUACUUUAUGUGCUACAUACUAUCUGAUAUAUUCCUAUUUUUCCCAUUAUAUGGCAGGUCAUGAAAGGUGCUCAUAAGUUAGGUAAAGACUCACAACAAGCUAAAGUCAAGUAUAAGCAGGGUGUAUCUAGUGGUUACGUGAUGACUGAUGAAACAAUAUUAUUGUGAAUUUAUUUUAUUUGCUUGUACAUUUAUUCUAAAUUGCUUCGGAGUUUAUUAUGAGAUGCUUUCAACUUUUAACAAAAGUGCUCUUGGAACUGUACGAGAAAAAUAUCAUCGAAACAUAUUGAAAUGAGAUCUUGUUUUGAUCUUUUUGUUACGGGCAAA